rnacentral:rRNA from 1 species
AUACGGAGGGUGCAAGCGUUGUUCGGAAUUACUGGGCGUAAAGCGCGUGCAGGCGGUCAGGUAAGUCAGAUGUGAAAGCCCCGGGCUCAACCCGGGAAGUGCAUUUGAUACUGCCUUUCUUGAGUAUGGGAGAGGAGAGUGGAAUUCCCAGUGUAGAGGUGAAAUUCGUAGAUAUUGGGAGGAACACCCGUGGCGAAGGCGACUCUCUGGACCAAUACUGACGCUGAGACGCGAAAGCGUGCGGAGCGAACAGGAUUAGAAACCCCAGUAGUCC